AUUGAACGCUGGCGGCAGGCCUAACACAUGCAAGUCGAACGAGUGGCGGACGGGUGAGUAAUGUCUGGGAAACUGCCUGAUGGAGGGGGAUAACUACUGGAAACGGUAGCUAAUACCGCAUACCAUCAGAUGUGCCCAGCUGGGAGUAGCUAGUUGGUUGGGUAACGGCUCACCAAGGCGACGAUCCCUAUCUGGUCUGAGAGGAUGACCAGGCACACUGUGACUGAGACACGGGCCAGACUCCUACGGUAGGCAGCAGUGGGGAAUAUUGCACAAUGGGCGCGAGCCUGAUGCAGCCAUGCCGCGUGGAUGAAGCAGGCCUUCGGGUUGUAAAGUACUUUCAGUGGGGAGGCGUUACCCGCAGAAGAAGCACCGGCUAACUCCGUGCCAGCAGCCGCGGUAAUAC
rnacentral:rRNA from 1 species